UCCAUUUUAAAGGUUUUAGAAUUGUUAAGAAUUAUUGUUGACAUUUAUAUUUAUAGUUAUAUUUACAACAAUUAUUUAAAUUUUGUUUGUUUUCUUGCUUUGUCUUUCGAUCCAGAGUCUUGAAAUGUAGUUCAUAUUGGUCUUGAACUCAUGGCAGCAGCCUCAGCUGCAGAUUCACAGGGUCCUUGGUGCUGAGGGUGCGGACUCGCUGGGCUGCUAACAGCCAGCACCUGGAACAGAGGAACAGGAGCCGGGGCUUUUCCUGCCACAGAGGGAAACCUCUACAGCUGUGUUCAGGGAAGCCCUGUGCGCCCAGCCAAGACUUUCUCAGAACAGCUCUGUCGUCUGGAACUGCUCCUCCUCAGCUCUCCUUCCUUCCCCCUCGCAGAUGUCAGAUCACAGCGCGGUCUGAAGGUUCUCUCUGCCUUCUCUUGUCCUGUCCCCUCCACCUUUCAUGGACAUUUCGCCACUGCAUCCUUUGCUGCCGAAUUGGUAUCUGCUUCUCCAUGAGUUCACAAGAACCUACUUACAAAGUAACUCUACAUAAAAUAACCAAAUCCAUGCUUUGGGCUCAAGUAACUUACUCAUCUCCCUAAGGACACAUACUCAUCUGAGACAAGGCACUAAAAGAAAAGGGUCUUCAGCUCAGACAGGAAUUCAACUUGCGAUCCUCCCGUCUUGGCCUCCCAAGUCUUGCCACUAGACUGUGCCUGGGAGGAAAUUUCAUGCUCUACUUUCUCCAGUCCUAGAAAUUUGGAGCCCUGUGGAGGCCUCUGUGUUGGCCCCAGGGAGCUGCCUUCAAUCUGCCUCAGCAGCCACUGCCUUUCCCAGGUUUUUCUUUUCGAUUUUGUUUCAGCAGAAUGUGUGUAGUCUUAGACAAGCCGUGACCUGGUGUGCAUCUCUCAGUACAGGGAUGGUUCUCAGAUUUGCCAUCUGGUGCUUCGGCUCAGUCUGCUGGCUCAUUUUGGACUUGGCACUGGAAACUUCGAUCGAGGUUCAGACAGGUACAGAACAUGCAAAUCUCUUCAAGAAUAAGUGCUCGCUGCUGCCUGCUGAGGGGAUCCCCCAUUGUCCACAAACACAUGCAAGCCACUAGUUUCCAGACAUAAUGGACCUAUGAUACUGUUCCCUCUAAAACCUCUGGACACUCAGCAAUCCACCUCAUGGCUUAACUGUCAAAAAUUCAAUCUUUAUCUUAAUUAUAUUUUUCAAUCUUCCCAAAUGUGCUCAAGAAGGAAAUGAAAGGAGUUUUAAACCAGGUGGACCUCACAUGCAAAAUAAUUUGGCUUUAUCUCUAUGCUCAUGAAAGUUAGAACUGGAAGACUUGAAAAGACACUAAAGAUCAGCCAAUGCAACAUACUGGUUGUCAAUCCAUUAGGGAUAUGGAGACCCAAACAGCAACAAUGCAUUCUGGAGCAGGUCUGAAAUUGCCACCCUUCACUGAGAAUCAUUCGAGCAUGGCCACAAGUUAAUAAAUAAAACAUCUCAAGAUUAACAACACCAAAAAAUGUAUGAUUUUUCCAUGAAUAGAGAAAAAACUAUUCAAGCUUCUAUCAGAACAGAGAUCAGCUUUUCUCUUCGGCAGAUAACAUAUUUUAUAAACACCUUGAUAUAUCUAAAACAGACAUACAUGUAUGGAAUAUAGAUAGAUUAGAUAGACAGAUGGACCAACAGAAUCUCAAACAUUAGGGAACUUACAGAGACAUACAGAAACAGAGAGAUGAAUGGGAGGCUUCUUUCUCCAGAAUCUCACUGAGUAGUCUUCAGAAUGUGAGUUAUAGGUUUAUGAGAUUGAUGAAACUUAGAGAACUUACUUCUUAGAUUGAGCUAGUGUGCAGGGUAUACCCCUAUGUUGUUUGUUAGUGUGUAUAAUGAUAUGCUUAGGCUUACAUCUAAGCUAUCCAUGCUCCUCCCCAGUGAACAUUAGUAGCUUGAUCAAAUUCACCCCCACAAAGACUGUGAAUCUUCUUGGGUCAGUGAAGGGAACAGAGGUUGCAAAGAGCUUACCUCAUC